GACGACGGACAUCAUGUGAUCAAUCAUCAGCCACAGUAAAAUCGUCGAAAUUUAUUCCGGGGGCUCUAAUCGCAACUUACUUUUACGCUUGCCACGGCUUGAUUAAAAGAUGCUUUCCAAGCUUUUUCUGAUCGCUUUCCUGGCCGUAUGGUCAGUUGCUCUUUCCUUCACCGUAAGGUCUGGGAUCCACAUGGGUGGUGCAGCUGGCUU
rnacentral:ribozyme from 1 species